UCGAGAAUCUUCGGCAAUGGGCGAAAGCCUGACCGAGCGACGCCGCGUGCGGGAUGAAGGCCCUCGGGUUGUAAACCGCUGUCGUAGGGGAGGAAGGCUCCGUGAAGAGCGGGGUUUGACCUAUCCUAGGAGGAAGUACGGGCUAAGUUCGUGCCAGCAGCCGCGGUAAUACGAACCGUACAAACGUUAUUCGGAAUCACUGGGCUUAAAGGGUGCGUAGGCGGCCAUGUAAGUGAGGUGUGAAAUCCCUCGGCUUAACCGAGGCACUGCGCUUCAUACUGCAUGGCUUGAGGGAGACAGGGGUAAGCGGAACUGAUGGUGGAGCGGUGAAAUGCGUUGAUAUCAUCAGGAACACCGGUGGCGAAAGCGGCUUACUGGGUCUCUUCUGACGCUGAGGUACGAAAGCUAGGGUAGCGAACGGGAUUAGAUACCCCGGUAGUCCUAGCUGUAAACGAUGAGCACUUAUCUGGGGAUCCUCCCAUAGGUUCCCGGAUGAAGCGAAAGUGUUAAGU
rnacentral:rRNA from 1 species